AUUGGACGCUGGCGGCAGGCUUAACACAUGCAAGUCGAGCGGGGUGAUGGUGCUUGCACUAUCACUUAGCGGCGGACGGGUGAGUAAUGCUUAGGAAUCUGCCUAUUAGUGGGGGACAACAUCUCGAAAGGGAUGCUAAUACCGCAUACGUCCUACGGGAGAAAGCAGGGGAUCACUUGUGACCUUGCGCUAAUAGAUGAGCCUAAGUCGGAUUAGCUAGUUGGUGGGGUAAAGGCCUACCAAGGCGACGAUCUGUAGCGGGUCUGAGAGGGUGAUCCGCCACACUGGGACUGAGACACGGUCCAGACUCCUACGGGAGGCAGCAGGGGGGAAUAUUGGACAAUGGGGGGAACCCUGAUCCAGCCAUGCCACGUGUGUGAAGAAGGCCUUAUGGUUGUAAAGCACUUUAAGCGAGGAGGAGGCUCUUUUGGUUAAUACCCAAGAUGAGUGGACGUUACUCGCAGAAUAAGCACCGGCUAACUCUGUGCCAGCAGCCGCCGUAA
rnacentral:rRNA from 1 species